GGCCCCAUAAAUGGCUUUGCUGCCCUGUAUUCAGAAAAAUUCCUGUUCCUCAAACCACUGCAAGAGUGCCAGGCCCUGGAGAAGGCUCCCCAGAGCAGUGGUGGAGGCACAUCCCUGGCAGAGCUCAAAAACCACUCGGUUUAUGGAUGUGGCCCUUUGGGAUAGCAUUUGGUGGGUGUGUGGGAUCUCACUGAAGGUUGGACUUGAUCAUCUUGGGACUCUGAUCUUACAAAAAUUCUGCAGUCGUGAACAGAACGGUGACAAAUCCCAGCAAUGCCUCAAAGGAAGGUCAGCACUGCUCACAAAUGACACUGCAGCCUUCAGCCGGGGCCUUGCUCUCCAAAGCAGCAAUAAUUGGAGGGCACCAAAUUUCAGGAUGUGAAGUUCUUUGGCCUCAGUUUGACUCGAUGACAGACAGUGGCACUGAACUCCUGAGCUUGCAGCUUGAUUGCAGACCAUAAAUUGUGCCAAAUCAAAUCCACCACCUGAUUCCAUGGGCAUUGAGAAUGCAGCAGCAAUGGGAAAUACAGGAAACUCAGGAUUUUUUUUUUCCUUUUAUUUAUUUCUUGGGGAAGGGAGAGGACAUAGUUGAAAUAAAACCAUUUUAUUUUGCAUAAAUUUCUCAGCUUUGCUGGAAGUUUCAAAGCCCAGCUCUCUGAUCCAUGAUUUCAUUGGUUCUGCUUAAAAGAGAACAUCCUCCAAACAGGAUUAUAUUCCUGAAUAUGGCAGGAAAGAUCUAUUUUCAAUAUCUUGCUGUGAAUCAAGCUGAAGAAAGACUCAAAACCAUCACGUGCAGGUGCAGGCUGCACCCAGAGCUGACAGCACCAUUGGGUUGGGAAUGUUGCAAGGAUAAUCACAGGCAGGCAACUUUUGGGUGCUUUUUUUUUUACCAAUAUUGAUUGGCUGACUCUGCAAAAACGCUGCAAAUGUGGCAGGAGAAAGGCUUGCUGAUGUUCAUGGACUGCAGGGUGCGGGGGUCAGGGAGCACCUCGAGCCAAGGGUGCCCAGUGCACACUUUAAUGAAGUGUGACAUCGAAAUUCAGCGUGACCUUGUGUUGUACAAGAGCAGGAGUAUCGUGAGCUACAUCAAUAAAAUCUGAAUAAGGUCUUUUUUCAGCUGAAAGGAGUCUCUGGCACCUGAGCUGCUAUAAAUAUUCAUUGGGAAAACAGACCAAAUGGUAUUGAGGGUUAUUUUUGGUAGCACCGGGUGCUGUGUUUGGGUUUAUGCUGCAAGAAAUGAAACAACUGGGGAUUUUAUUUAUGAAAAUAUCAUAUUAGAAGGAGUAGUUUAAAUUAGAGUUUCAAAUGGGGUAUAGGAGUCUUUCCACAUGCAUUUGCUGAAGAUAUUUAAAGAAGCUGGACACAGAUUGGGGCUUAAAAAGUCCUUUACAGUGUUUUACAGUGCAGGUCUUGAGGAGAUUAUUUUACAAGGCCUGUUCUCUAUUUAAAUUCUGUUUGAAAUAUCCCAGGAUAUUAUCUGAAUUAGAAGAAAUACUUCAUCCUUUCUUAAGAGUUUUCUGAUCAGAGGAGAGCAGUUCUUGUUGUUUCAAAUUAACAUCUGCAUGUUAAAUAUGGUAACACAAUUUUUCAACAUGCUUGUACUUGGCUUUUGUUAGUUAGUGCCUUGUUUUUCUCUGGGAUGUAAAGAUCAGGACCAAAGUUUAUGAACCUCAGGAACUUCUCCAAGAUGAGCAGAGGGAUGGAGCAGCUCUGCUGGAAGGAAAGGCUGGCAGAGCUGGGAUUGUUCACCAGCAGAGGAGAAGCUUUGGGGUGGAAGGAGCUACAGGAAAGAUGGAGAGAGACUGUUCAAAAAAGGAUGGAGUACCAGGAUAAGGAGGAAUGGCUUCAAACUGACAGAGAGGAGAUUCAGGCUGUGCUGAUCCCAUGGAGUCCUCACCAUAAAAAGUUGACCAGUGAUGCUCUAGAAGAGUUAAUCAUCAAGUUCACAUCACCUGGAUUGGAAAUUUCUGGAGCUGAAUAUUCCCCUUGUUCUGGGACUUCAGGGCUGGCAAUGUUUACACAGAGCUACAAACCCCGAGCUCAAGGAGAGAUAAAAAUUGUUCAUGCUGGCAGUGCUCACCCUCACACAGCAACACCUGGCAGGAAAAGGUGAUCAUUCCAGGGGAGGAGAAACCAAAGACUGACAGCAAAUUUGCUGGUAAGUAUUUUUUUAAAAAAAGGUCAGUCUUGAACAUUAAA